AAGGGAGUUGGACCUCUUAAUUCCCCUUCCUCUUCCCAUCCUAACUACCAUUUACCUGAGCCAAUCAAAGGAAUUUAACUCCCAUAGACCUUAAACUUCCAUUCCCCAUUGGCAACUCCCUCCAAACAAACACGCUGUAUGGGUCUGCGGCGUACGAACCGCCGGUGACGGAGGCCGCUGUUGGGGUCGUGACGGGAGAUUCCCUGAGCUGUGGCUCGGGUCUGCCUUCUACUCCCGAUCCGUGGCUCAGGUUGGUGGAUCUCCGGUAGGGGCCGGUGGGCAGCGUAGUAAAUGACGAGUCAGAGGCAAAAAGUAGCUCUCCCUCUCUCAUCGCCAUUGACGCCCACUAAGGUCUGCGGCGGAAGGAAUACGCGGCGGCGAUUCCCGGAUGGAGUUCCUCAUGCAACCGAUUCGGAGGACCGCAGUGAUGGAGGAGGUGAACCACAACGAGCUACCAAUGGAGCCGCUGCCCUACCUAGCUGUGGCGACAGGAGCCGAAGAGCUGCCCCCAAUGGCCACAGGUAGCAUUGACGGGCAGGUUUGUGCGGCGUAUGUGCCAGCCGAUAGGCCAAAUUGAUCCAAAAACUCAUGGCUGGACUCGCAGGUAAUCUCUUCGCUAAUGGUGUUUGGAUUGAAGACUGUUUGUCUGAAUUUAGGUGUACUUCAAAUCGCAUGAACUGACUUGCAGAUAGGCUGGUCAGUUUUGCAGGAAGUUUUAGUUACAAACUUUGGAAUAAGUAGAUCCUGGAGAAAUUGUAAUAGUUAUAUACAGAUAUUUUUGGAAAUCCUGCAUGUUUUCCUCCUAGCCAGUGCUGAAGAUACUAGCACCAACGCAUGAUUAACAACAUGCAUAGCAGUGUUAGUCUGUUCUAUGGGUACUUGAUUCUGAUAUGAGAGAAUAAAUAUCAAAACUAAGCAGAAAACUUUUAUUACAAACUUAAAUCGUAAAACACAAAGAAUGUAGGAUGAACUAACAGCGAGUCUGUUCGAUAUGGGUGUUUUGAUUGUAUGCUGUUUUUCCAAUUUUAGGUGAACUUAGAAUUGCAUUAACUAAGUUGCAUAUAGGAUGAUCAGUUGUGCAAAUAGAUUCCAUUUAUAAAAAAGGCGUAGUGGAAUUAAAAUUGUUAUAUAUAUUAUGUGGAAUAACAGUGCUGGAGCUACUGGCACCCACCAGAUGAAUUAAAAAAAGCAUAAGACUGUUGGUUAGUUUUGUGGAUACUCGAUUCUGAUGAGGAAAUAAAUAUCAGAAUUCAGUUGGGAAGUUUUUGAAUUAAAGCUUAAUUUGAAAUUGGUAAAAUGGAAAGUAGAUGGCAUGUCAGUUUGGAAUGAUGUUCCCAAAUAUGAUACAGGUCAGCAGGCAUGCCGGAGUGAAGCAUAUGUGUUCCCUGGAAUAACAAGUACCCUGACUCGCCUAUUUCGUUUCUUUACCGCACAUCAUACGCCUAUUUCUAACUGCAUGUAUGUACUACCAAAAACAUACAAUGACUGGAUGAUCUUGUACUACAGUUAGGGCUGCAGGGGAGUCUUCGUGUGCAGCUAAUCUUCGAGGAGGUCAUGCAGCAGGAGGCACCCAGGCACCCAUGCUUCAGGUGCAUCAGGUGGCAAUGGCAGUCAAGAGUAUGUUAAUCCAAUAGGGAACAUCCAACCUGAGCAUCAAGUUUUGUAGUUGGGAAGGGCAACAAUCAGGGUGCUGAACGUAAUGUCAGAGGUUCAGGUGCUGAGUCGGGGUGGAUGAUGAGCAACUUAAGGCUGCAAAUAGGCAUCGUGAGGAUGUGAUGUAUUUCUGCGACAGAAUACUGACGUGCACAAGGAGGGAACUUGACAAGGAAGUUGGAAAAGCUAAUCGCUUGCAAUAAAUGAGAUUGGAGCCGCUGCAUGUUGAAGCAGCAUACUUGAACCUACUGCCAUUUAUGUUAGCAAGCCAAGCUCUCUGGUAAAGAACAGGUGUAGGAUUUUCCGAAAUUAAAUAUAUGAAGAUCGUGUGCACAUAUGAGGACAUAUUGAAAGUUUGUAAAAAAUGGCAAUAGUUUGAACCAUAUGUGGGCUAUCAAGUUUUGUUCAGCA